UGCUAAUUGAAUUUACCCAGCAGAUAACUCGAACUAUUCAGGAUAAUAUAGAGACCUUGGUAAGGAAACCAAGCAAACUUAACGUCAAGUGCCAAUUGGACGGUCCCAGGUCGGUCAAACAGUCUAAAUUCUGAUAAAUUUCCGGGUGAUGCUAGAUUGACUCCGGCCAGUAAAGGUUUAGAUUUAAUCAACAGGUCAGUUAAAGUCAACAGCUGGAAACUACGGCUUACCAGAAGUCCCAAAGGCAUAAGCGUAGGUAACUUUAUAUAUAGGGUCUGUCAGGGUCAUGUAGACGGUAGCAGGAAAUUCAGAAGUUCUCACCAGUAACGCUAACCUGUUAAUUCGAUGGUAGGGCUCGCGAAUUUUAUUGGCGGUCUCACAAACCCUACAGAGUCCUGCGAUGGGAGGACAACUGUUCCGAUGUGGACAUCCGGAAGACAAUUCGCGACAGAAAGCAAUAUCCAUACCUUUAAAGCUUCCUUAUCAAUACAAAGUAAUGCCCUUCGGUCUUACGAAUGCUUCUCAAUUGAUGACUCGUCUUAAUGAUAAAUUUAUCCCAGCGGAUUUGGCUUUUGCUCAGCACUUGUUCUUCAAAGCGCUAAAUUUGGCAAUUCGUCUGUUGACGCCAGCAAAACGGAUGUUGGACAGCUUUAGUUCAAAAUACAGAAGAGGGAGACGAAUAUCCAAUUGCGUUUGUUUCAAAAACGCAUUUAUUCAGACUAAUAGUGGUAGAUGGGCCGGCGUAUAAGAAAAUGGAUCCGAGGUUCCCGCCUGUCGCGUGUCUUUUCCAUUUUGGCAGCCAUCCGAGGCAGUUGUGCGUUGAAGAACCAAACUUUCGAAAAGGAAAGGAUCCAAGUAUUUAUAAAUUCCCAUUUGUUGUAGGUGAUUUAUUGUUGUAGGUGAUUUAUUGGCAAAAUAUGAUUUUUAUACAAUAACAA